UUAGGACUUGCAUUUCAAAUGU
rnacentral:miRNA from 1 species